rnacentral:rRNA from 1 species
AUGCCUCCAGGAAGGGUGAUGGCCCCAGCUCCAGGACAAAAAAAGAGGAUCCUGGAACCUGAUGAACCUGCCCUUGAUAGAGUCACAAGGCAGAAAGCAAAGAUGGCGAAUGCGACGGACCAUCAGGAAAGUCUACUGCGCAUGGACUCUGAGACCUCGGUGCAAAUGGGUGAUGAGUUGCCGCCCAUGGAUGAAGAUGCAAUGACUACCAAGACUAGACUUAGAAAGGGCAAAGGGCUAGAGAGGAUCACCAAGUCGCUUGGUAGCAAGGUGCCUAUCCAAAUUGCCGAAGGGAUGAAGCGUCCAGAGAAGCCUCUGCAGUCAGCAAAGCUUGCUUCUGAGUGUGGACUCGUUGCAAGAAACCAUCUUCCGGUUCUUCCUCACUUCAAGCUAUACAAAAAAAUGCUAGUCUAUUGGAGAACUACAUUGGGAAAGUUGCUGCAAAUUUUGAGAUGA